CACCUUGAACUGAACUGAAGUGGCCAGGGAGAGUAAAAAGAUUAAAGUCAUAACAUUUUUUGUCCGUGAUAAAUACGAACAAGGUGAUUCAAGAAAACAAAAUGGCGAACAAGGGAAUAUUUUCAGUUCGAUUCAGGCUUUUAAAAUUCAUACUGUGGAUUAUACAACUGCAUACAAAGAAGACAAAAGUCAAGAUGAAGCUCAAUUUAAAAACUGAUCCAAGGAUACAUGUUGGACCCAAGAAAACUUGUUCAUAUUGAACAAUUAUUUUUUUAAUAUUCUGAAUGAAUAUGGUAAUUAAAAAAAGAAAAUAUAAA